rnacentral:sRNA from 1 species
ACCAGGGCCCCAGCUACCUGCCACGGCCAGGGCCAACUGUGCCCACCUCUUUGGACCUGAGGGCCCACAUCAGCGCCCACCCAGGCCAUCCACCCCUUGCCCCCUUCCGCCCGCCAGAGACGAAGGAGGAGCUGGAAGAACUCAUGUCCGACAUAAAGAAGACAGCAAACAAAGUUCGUUCCAAGUUAAAGAGCAUCGAGCAGUCCAUCGAGCAAGAGGAAGGCCUGAACCGCUCCUCCGCUGACCUGAGGAUCCGGAAGACACAGCACUCCACGCUGUCCAGAAAGUUUGUGGAGGUCAUGUCGGAGUACAACGCCACGCAGUCCGACUACCGCGAGCGCUGCAAAGGCCGCAUCCAGAGGCAGCUGGAGAUCACCGGCAGGACCACAACCAGUGAGGAGCUGGAGGACAUGCUGGAGAGUGGGAACCCCGCCAUCUUUGCCUCUGGGAUCAUCAUGGACUCCAGCAUCUCGAAGCAGGCUCUGAGCGAGAUUGAGACGCGGCACAGUGAGAUCAUCAAGCUGGAGAACAGCAUCCGUGAGCUACACGACAUGUUCAUGGACAUGGCCAUGCUCGUGGAGAGCCAGCCUCAGGGUGCUUUCCUGAAGUCCUGCCCCGAGCCCCAACCCAACCCUGAGGAGGGGGCCCUCUGGAGCUCGGGUGCCCCCGGCCCCGCAGGGAGAGAUGAUUGACAGGAUCGAGUACAAUGUGGAA